CAGGACGCCAUCGACAUAGACACGGGGCCGCUUAGACACCUACACGCGGACGACACGGAGACGACACGACUCAACGACCUCCUCCUGUUUAGGCUGAUCAAGAAUCUGCUAGGGUUACGGACGGAGCACAGAAUGCAUAAAGACGCGCCGAAGGGAGACAUCCCAAUGUUGGGUGAGUCGAACAUGGCGAAAAGAUUCUUCUCAGGCGUGAGACCGCAGCAGCGGUGGAAAUCUAAGAAGGGGAAAAUUAUAGGAUCGCAAAUGGUAUGCUACUUCAAGCUGUGUGCGUUCAGAAAUCCCGCAUAAGACGACCCCAUGACACCGAUUAUCUAUUAUAUCAAAUAU